UAAAGGCUAUCCACGAGGCACAUUGGGCCAUCUUUGGAAAAUUUCGUUAGUGAUUCGUUCAUUCAAUUUUAACUUUCUGUGGUGCAAUGAUGUACGCCUUGUCUUAUAUUAAACAUAAAGGAAAUAAAAUCUUCACAGGAUGACCUGAAAACAAACUUGAAUAGAAUUAUCCAAGAAGUGGAUUUUUCUGAGAUGCACAUAGCCGUAAGGAAGUAGUAGAUCUGAUUUAACGCUCGCAAAAAGAUGCACUGAUCUAACCACGUGGCUGCGUUCAAAGAUGGCGUAAACGAUUUGUCAAGACAGAUGACAACGAGGACAGCAUUCCCAUGGCAGUCAGUUCUAAGUUACCGGAAUGACUCGGGGGGGGGGGGUUUUUCCCGCCCCAGUAAACUAGCGCUGUCUAGUAACCCGUCUAUCAAAGCAUUGAAAUUAAUUGGGUGGAUGGAGAAUAUUUGUUGAUCAGUCUUAUCGUGAGAUUAUAAAAUGAGAUGAUUCUCGUGGCUAUUGAAAUAAUAAUGUAGUAAAUUGUAUUGUCAAUAAAGCAGUUAAUAAAAUUAAAA